rnacentral:rRNA from 1 species
CACGCGCACGGGUGAGUAACACGUAUCCAACCUGCCGAUGACUCGGGGAUAGCCUUUCGAAAGAAAGAUUAAUACCCGAUGGCAUAGUUCUUCCGCAUGGUAGAACUAUUAAAGAAUUUCGGUCAUCGAUGGGGAUGCGUUCCAUUAGGUUGUUGGCGGGGUAACGGCCCACCAAGCCUUCGAUGGAUAGGGGUUCUGAGAGGAAGGUCCCCCACAUUGGAACUGAGACACGGUCCAAACUCCUACGGGAGGCAGCAUG